rnacentral:lncRNA from 1 species
GGACAUUUGGAGUGUGGUCAAAUAAUUCAAGACUCUUCCAUAAACUUUUUAAAAUUAGUUGUAUUUUAAUUUAGUAGUUUAAAAUUUUUAGACAAACUUUUAUAUUGUGGGCCAAUUUUGGAGUUUGUUGUUGAGCCCAAUUAAUGAUAUGGACACUUGGCACCCUAGGGUUUUAUUUUGGGGUGGACCCCAUCCCUAUUUUGGAGACACAUGGCCUAGGGAUUAGGGAGCACCAGCCGUCACACACUUUUGGGGAGUUUUGAAAUUUUUUUCAUGGAGCUUUCUUGGAGCAUGGACACGGAUUGAUUACUUUGUAAUGGAGAAGCAUAUUUUUUUGUGUCUUUGAAGAAAGAAAACGCUGAUUCCACUGCAGUGGAAAUAGGAUAACGUUGACGCUGCUUCUUUAAUUUCAUUUGGUGAUUUUCUC